UCUCCUCCUGCCCCUUCAUCCUUUCUCAUAACAGAUGCUCCAGACCUUACCUCUUGCUACUAUUACCCUGCUCCCGAGUCUCUUUCCAUAUGGAAAUAGGGCAGAGGGGUGUAGGGUAGUGCCUAGACGGGGGUCCAGAGACAAAUUCUAACCCUAAUUUAACAACGGUUGAUGAUGUUUGACUAAUUUAUCUGUUAAAAACCAAGGAAAGUGGUUGACACAGUGAUCUCUUGGGACGCUUCUUUUAGUGUAGGGCUAUUUACAGAGUGAGACGAGGUCAGGAAAGCCCAGGGGCUGCUGAGGCGCCCAGGGACCUGCAGAAACAGAAGCCUUUACCACACCUGAAGCGGAAGGUGUUCUGACAGCUGGUUGAAGGCUGGAGCUUUGCGGGAAGGGGCCCUGGGCAGAGCCGUAGCUGGGGAGGAGCACCAUCACUGCCCCAGUCAGGAAGAGGUGAGAGAAAUACACUCAUGACCUCACUGUCCUCUGCCCUCCAAGCGCCUGCUGACACCUCCUGGCAGAGGCGGCGUGCAGAGGAGCCCAGAGAUGCCCACUGCAGGGUGCAGACCCCUGGGGCCCGGGGAAGGGCAGAGAGUGGCUCUCAGGAGAUCUAGGGGCGGACAGCACAUACCCGCCCCCCUCCCCCAGACUCCAAAGCAGGAUUUAGCUCUUCUUUUCACAGAGGGACAGGUUCUAGCUGCCAUUUAUAUGUGUGAUAUUUAAACAGCUGUUAUUUCUGUCUCCGCUUGCACAUGUUCUCUGGUAAAUCCACCAACAGAAUAUCCACUUCGCACAUCAGCCGGUAUCUUUACAAUAACAAAAACAUUGGUUUUUAUUGGGUGACUGGUUGAAAUUUACAAACACUGGUUUAGAAGCUAGUACCAUAGUUUCUUGUAGAGAAUAAAGUUUUGUCAGUGACAUAGAUUUGGUAUUCCACCUAAAGUAGAUGAUAUUAGAAUAAUUACAAUUUGGGUAACACAUGUUUAAUGUUGAUGAACUUAUAAUGGGGAUACACUGAAGCGUUUGGAUCUUUACAACUAGCAUUAGUUUAGCAAAUGAAACCAUGAGGACUAGAAGUCCGGAAUUUUAUCCUUUUUAGGAAUCAAUAUAUUUUUAUACACUGGUGUGUGUGUGUGUAUCAGUUUCCUGACUGAUGGCUCUUUUUUUUCUUCCAAACAAUAGACAAAACAUGAUCAAAUGCUUAUGAAGCAAAAUACCACAUUCUGCAGUCUCAUAGGGUUUAUUUCUUUGUUUUGGGCCUAAUGGAGCUGCUUGAACAGUGAGUGCACUGGAGGAUUUUUCUGUACCUAAAUGAUGUCACCAUUCACUCUGAUUUUCCACUUUGUUGCAAACCCAAUAAUCUGUUGCCAUGCCCAGCUUGCCAAAAUUCCCGGCAGAGUGCAUAAGGGUACAAUGAGUCUGAAGUACCACAUCAGAUCUAACCCAAGGACUGAUGUUAAAUAAACCUGAGAGUAAAUAUUAAGUGAGGAAAGAUUUACCUUCAAACUCCAGGUUUUAGGAUCUGUGCCCUUUAAUUUCAUCCCAUCAAUUUCUGAAAUAUGAAUUUGCUUUAUAACACUAUAAUGCAAUACAUUUUUAUCAAGCAUCAAGAUGCAUGUAUCCUUAGCUUGUGCUUUAAAAAAUCUGACAAAUGAUACUAGGUGACUCCUGAGGGAUCUGCGUGGUAUCACAGGACUAGCAGCUCUCUCUGUAGCAGGAGAUGAGGACACAGUCGACAUUCAGAUUUCACGUGGUUUCCCCCAAGGAGUGCCAUGCUCUGAAGAGCCGCAGAGCGGCCAAACUGAGAGGGGAAGAGCACCUGAAGGUCACUAUCACAUGGCAAGGUGUCAGCCCACACGGGACCACAGAUCAGCAACCCUUCAAAUCUGGAGCGUGAAUGAUUUCAUCGAUGAUUCUCUUCCCAUUUAUGUCACCACAGAACAUUGAGUAGCAAAAACUCCUGUAUAUCCUGGCUCCUCCCUUACCUCUUUGGACCAGUCCUUCAGAGCUAUCUGAGAGACUGUACCCACUUUGGGCCAUAGUCCUCAAUUUUUAGCUGCACUAUAGGACCAUGCAGUGAAGUCAUCAAAGAGCAGCAACUGGCCAAGAAGUGGUGCCCUCUUAAGCAGAUCGUGGGAUUGAAGAUGAGCCAUGCACUAAACACAGAGUUCAGAGUCCAUUGGAGAGGUGGCCGAGCAUGAUCAGCAUGAACAGGCCUAAGAUGGGAGUCCAGGCCCUAUGAAUUCCUUCUUCAGAUCAUCUUGUAGAAGUGCUCUACUUUGAGACUUCUCAGGAGGCAGGUCAGGUGGUCUGAUAUUCCCAUCUCUUGAAGAAUUUUCUACA